rnacentral:rRNA from 1 species
CAGUAGCCACGGGAAUACGUAGGGUGCAAGCGUUGUCCGGAAUUAUUGGGCGUAAAGAGCUCGUAGGCGGUUUGUCGCGUCUGCUGUGAAAUCCCGAGGCUCAACCUCGGGCUUGCAGUGGGUACGGGCAGACUAGAGUGCGGUAGGGGAGAUUGGAAUUCCUGGUGUAGCGGUGGAAUGCGCAGAUAUCAGGAGGAACACCGAUGGCGAAGGCAGAUCUCUGGGCCGUAACUGACGCUGAGGAGCGAAAGCGUGGGGAGCGAACAGGAUUAGAUACCCGUGUAGUCCCUGUCUCUUAUAC